rnacentral:rRNA from 1 species
UACGUAGGUGACAAGCGUUGUCCGGAUUUACUGGGCGUAAAGAGCGCGCAGGCGGUCGUUCAAGUCGAGUGUGAAAGCCCCCGGCUCAACUGGGGAGGGUCAUUCGAUACUGAGCGACUCGAAGGCAGGAGAGGGUAGUGGAAUUCCCGGUGUAGUGGUGAAAUUCGUAGAUAUCGGGAGGAACACCAGUGGCGAAGGCGGCGAGCUGGGAAGAUACUGACGCUGAGGUGCGAAAGCGUGGGGAGCAAACAGG